rnacentral:rRNA from 1 species
CGUACGGGCUUGAGGGGCAACUCUCAAGUCAGUGGCGAACGGGUGCGUAACACGUGAGCAACUUGCCCUAAGGUGGGGGAUAGCCGGCCCAACGGCCGGGUAAUACCGCAUAUGACGCCGGGAUCGCAUGGUCCUGGCGGGAAAGCGGCCGCAAGGUCGCGCCAAAGGUGGGGCUCGCGACGUAUCAGCUAGUUGGUAGGGUAACGGCCUACCAAGGCUACGACGCGUAGCUGGUCUGAGAGGAUGGCCAGCCACAUUGGGACUGAGAUACGGCCCAGACUCCUACGGGAGGCAGCAGUGGGGAAUAUUGCGCAAUGGCCGCAAGGCUGACGCAGCGACGCCGCGUGUGGGAUGACGGCCUUCGGGUUGUAAACCACUGUCGGGGGGGGCGAAUACUCGGCUUCGAAUAGGAGACCGAGGGUGACGGUACCCCCAAAGGAAGCACCGGCUAACUCCGUGCCAGCAGCCGCGGUAAUACGGAGGGUGCGAGCGUUGUCCGGAAUCACUGGGCGUAAAGGGCGCGUAGGCGGCCAUGUAAGUCACUUGUGAAAUCCCGGGGCUCAACUCCGGGGCUGCAGGUGAGACUGCGUGGCUAGAGCACGGUAGAG